AUUGACCUCUAGCGGCAGGCCUAACACAUGCAAGUCGAACGAGUGGCGGACGGGUGAGUAAUGUCUGGGAAACUGCCCGAUGGAGGGGGAUAACUACUGGAAACGGUAGCUAAUACCGCAUACCAUCGGAUGUGCCCAGAUGGGAUUAGCUAGUAGGGGGGGUAAUGGCUCACCUAGGCGACGAUCCCUAGCUGGUCUGAGAGGAUGACCAGCGACACGGGAGCUGAGACACGGGCCAGACUGCGACGGGAGGCAGCAGGGGGGAAGAUUGCACAAGGGGCGUGAGCCUGAUGCAGCCAUGCCGCGUGUAUGAAGAAGGGCGUCGGGUUGUAAAGUACUUGCAGCGGGGAGGCGUGACCCGCAGAAGAAGCACCGGCGAACUCCGUGCCAGCAGCCGCGGUAAUAC
rnacentral:rRNA from 1 species